UACUUUUUCCUAACAUUACGAUUGCGUCCGAACGUCUUCGGAAAGUAAAAAACACUGUUGCCAGUAUUCGCAUAUUUUCGUAAGUAUAUCAGACAGAGUGAAUUAUUAUGGAAUUAUUGUUCGUUACUGAACGGAGUGAAUUAUUGUGAAUUGAAAAUGGAAGGAUUAUUUAAAAAGGAAGCCAGAAGGUAGGAAAUUUCAUUUGUGCUUAUCUUUUGUAGUUAUGUAUUAAAAAAACAAAAUAUUCAGUAUCCAUAAUGUUUCGGUUUACUUAUAACUUGAUUAGCAUGUAUUUAAGUGCAAGGUAAUUAAUUAAUUUGUAAUAAAAUACUUUCAGAUCCUCUCAAAGUGGAGGACAAGUACUGGCAGCUGGAUAAUCCAACUCCGAUUGGAUCCGCAAUUAUAUGAAGAUAUAGAUGUGAAAAUAAUAAUAGUGGAAUAUAUUAGCGUAGUUCGAGCAGCAACGGUGGCAAAAUGGUGUCUAGUUAGUUACCAUAGUUACAAUAGAACAAAAAGGUAGGUGUAGGUAUACCUACGCUCACCUUCAGUAGCACUUUUUCACCAGCCACCCGCAGUUCGCAGUCACUAGAAUACCAGAGGGACUACAGUUUGAUUUAUUUUAUUUUAUCAUACAUUUAUAUUUUGUAAUAAACCAUAUCAUAUAAUACCAACUUCCAUGCUUUAUUUUGACCGACUUAAAGUUCAUGAAUAAAUUCGAAAUAUUUUGAAAAAAUUUCCUUAUUAAGGUCUUAAAAUUGAAUUGCAAUAUCAUUUAAGGGGUGGUAAAAAAGUUGAGUUG